ensembl:lincRNA
GUCACUGAUUAUAAAAAGUAAUAUCAAUUUAAUAACAGCUUUACAUUAAAUGUAAACUUGUAAGAUAAAGCUUGAAUUCAGAAAUAUUAAAACAAGGAAAAACAGAAUGGCUGAAAUCAUCUGCAAUGAAAGGAAACACAAGAUCUUUUUAACGGCCUCAGUGAAAGAGAGAAAUUUUGAGCUGGGAAUUAAAAUGUCAAACCAGUCAAAACUGAUAAAUUGGAC